UCUAUAGGAGUGGCACAUGCGCAGUACCCAGGUAAGGACUACUAGCCAGUCAGAAGCAGAGUAUGAGGGCAGCUAGGCGAG